rnacentral:rRNA from 1 species
AUACGGAGGACGCGAGCGUUAUUCGGAUUCAUUGGGUUUAAAGGGUGCGUAGGCGGUUUGCUAAGCGGGUGGUGAAAUGUCGGCGCUCAAAGUCGGAAGUGCCUACCGAUAUGGUGGACUGGAAUGACUAUGCCGUGGGAGGAAUGUGAAGUGUAGCGGUGAAAUGCUUAGAGAUUACACAGAACACCGAUUGCGAAGGCAUCUCACGAAGGGUUGAUUGACGCUGAGGCACGAAAGCGUGGGGAUCAAACAGGAUUAGAUACCCUGGUAGUCCACGCAGUAAACGAUGAUGGCUAACCGCUGGUUUAUUCGGAUCAGUGGCCAAGCGAAAGCGAUAAGCCAUCCACCUGGGGAGUACGACCGCAAGGUUGAAACUCAAAGGAAUUGGCGGGG